rnacentral:rRNA from 1 species
AUUUCUUGUAAUCCUGCGUGAGGGCCGUGUUCAGUUCGGCGAAAAUCUCCUUGCGGUGGAAAAGCGACUCGACCGCGCGGCGCAGUACGGUCUUCAGGAAGAGGUUGCUGACGGGUUUUUCGCGGCGGCGGUUGUCCACGAGCCAAACCUCGUGGCCGAGCCGUUCGAGGACGGUCUUCAGGGCGAAUGCCUGGAGCACGCCGCCGUAGUUGGCGUGCAGGGGGAGGGUCAGCAGGGCGAUUUUCAUGGGGCGGUUCGGGUUAGCGGGCGAUCAGCCGGCGGAAUUUCCGCACGAGACGUUGCCCGGGUGUGGGUUUUACGGUUCGUUUCAGCAAUUCCGUGACGCUCGCCGCACGGGGCAGCUCGCGGAAGAACUCUUCGCGGCGCGGGUGGGGUUCGACGCGUUCGAGGAAUCCGCCGUUGCGGCCGCGCACCCGGUCGUCCCAAGGAAGCGGGCGGCACUCGGCGUCGGCCUCUUCGAAAUGCCGGACGCCCUGCGGCGUGUUGAGCAACACGAGGCUCGCGCCGCGGUCGUCGUCGAAUGCGGGCAGCACGUCGCGGAUGUUCCAGAAGUCGAACCUUACCCGGGUUUGAACGCAUUUCGACAGCUCUGGAAACAGAGCCUCUAGCAAUAGCGAUUUGCGAGGUGCUGCAUGGUUGUCGUCAGCUCGUGCCGUGAGGUGUCGGCUUAAGUGCCAUAACGAGCGCAACCCUUGCCACUAGUUACUAACAGGUGAUGCUGAGGACUCUGGUGGGACUGCCAGCGUAAGCUGCGAGGAAGGCGGGGAUGACGUCAAAUCAGCACGGCCCUUACAUCCGGGGCGACACACGUGUUACAAUGGCGUGGACAAAGGGAAGCCACCUGGCGACAGGGAGCGAAUCCCCAAACCACGUCUCAGUUCGGAUCGGAGUCUGCAACCCGACUCCGUGAAGCUGGAUUCGCUAGUAAUCGCGCAUCAGCCAUGGCGCGGUGAAUACGUUCCCGGGCCUUGUACAC